rnacentral:rRNA from 1 species
GACGAACGCUGGCGGCGUGCUUAACACAUGCAAGUCUUAACGGAAAGGCCCUGCUUUUGUGGGGUGCUCGAGUGGCGAACGGGUGAGUAACACGUGAGUAACCUGCCCUUGACUUUGGGAUAACUUCAGGAAACUGGGGCUAAUACCGGAUAGGAGCUCCUGCUGCAUGGUGGGGGUUGGAAAGUUUCGGCGGUUGGGGAUGGACUCGCGGCUUAUCAGCUUGUUGGUGGGGUAGUGGCUUACCAAGGCUUUGACGGGUAGCCGGCCUGAGAGGGUGACCGGCCACAUUGGGACUGAGGUACGGCCCAGACUCCUACGGGAGGCAGCAGUGGGGAAUAUUGCACAAUGGGCGGAAGCCUGAUGCAGCAACGCCGCGUGCGGGAUGACGGCCUUCGGGUUGUAAACCGCUUUCGCCUGUGACGAAGCGUGAGUGACGGUAAUGGGUAAAGAAGCACCGGCUAACUACGUGCCAGCAGCCGCGGUGAUACGUAGGGUGCGAGCGUUGUCCGGAUUUAUUGGGCGUAAAGGGCUCGUAGGUGGUUGAUCGCGUCGGAAGUGUAAUCUUGGGGCUUAACCCUGAGCGUGCUUUCGAUACGGGUUGACUUGAGGAAGGUAGGGGAGAAUGGAAUUCCUGGUGGAGCGGUGGAAUGCGCAGAUAUCAGGAGGAACACCAGUGGCGAAGGCGGUCCUCUGGGCCUUUCCUGACGCUGAGGAGCGAAAGCGUGGGGAGCGAACAGGCUUAGAUACCCUGGUAGUCCACGCUGUAAACGGUGGGUACUAGGUGUGGGGUCCAUUCCACGGGUUCCGUGCCGUAGCUAACGCUUUAAGUACCCCGCCUGGGGAGUACGGCCGCAAGGCUAAAACUCAAAGGAAUUGACGGGGCCCCGCACAAGCGGCGGAGCAUGCGGAUUAAUUCGAUGCAACGCGUAGAACCUUACCUGGGUUUGACAUGGAUCGGGAGUGCUCAGAGAUGGGUGUGCCUCUUUUGGGGUCGGUUCACAGGUGGUGCAUGGCUGUCGUCAGCUCGUGUCGUGAGAUGUUGGGUUAAGUCCCGCAACGAGCGCAACCCUUGUUCACUGUUGCCAGCACGUUAUGGUGGGGACUCAGUGGAGACCGCCGGGGUCAACUCGGAGGAAGGUGGGGAUGACGUCAAGUCAUCAUGCCCCUUAUGUCCAGGGCUUCACGCAUGCUACAAUGGCUGGUACAGAGAGUGGCGAGCCUGUGAGGGUGAGCGAAUCUCGGAAAGCCGGUCUCAGUUCGGAUUGGGGUCUGCAACUCGACCUCAUGAAGUCGGAGUCGCUAGUAAUCGCAGAUCAGCAACGCUGCGGUGAAUACGUUCCCGGG